rnacentral:rRNA from 1 species
UACGGGGGGGGCAAGCGUUGUUCGGAAUUACUGGGCGUAAAGGGCUCGUAGGUGGCCAACUAAGUCAGACGUGAAAUCCCUCGGCUUAACCGGGGAACUGCGUCUGAUACUGGAUGGCUUGAGUUCGGGAGAGGGAUGCGGAAUUCCAGGUGUAGCGGUGAAAUGCGUAGAUAUCUGGAGGAACACCGGUGGCGAAGGCGGCAUCCUGGACCGAGACUGACGCUGAGGCGCGAAGGCGUGGGGAGCAAACAGG